GGAAUAUUGGACAAUGGGCGAAAGCCUGAUCCAGCCAUGCCGCGUGAGUGAAGAAGGCCUUAGGGUUGUAAAGCUCUUUCACCUGCGAAGAUGAUGACGGUAGCAGGAGAAGAAGCCCCGGCUAACUCCGUGCCAGCCGCCGCGGUAAUACGGAGGGGGUUAGCGUUGUUCGGAAUUACUGGGCGUAAAGCGCACGUAGGCGGAUUAGAAAGUUGGGGGUGAAAUCCCAGGGCUCAACCCUGGAACUGCCUUCAAAACUACUAGUCUAGAGUUCGAGAGAGGUGAGUGGAAUUCCGAGUGUAGAGGUGAAAUUCGUAGAUAUUCGGAGGAACACCAGUGGCGAAGGCGGCUCACUGGCUCGAUACUGACGCUGAGGUGCGAAAGUGUGGGGAGCAAAC
rnacentral:rRNA from 1 species